GGAGUCGGCCGAGCAGCCGCUCCCGGCGCGUUGCGCCGGGGGAGGAAAGUCCGGGCUCCACAGGGCAGGGUGCCAGGUAACGCCUGGGCGGCGUGAGCCGACGGAAAGUGCCACAGAGAGCAGACCGCCGA
rnacentral:RNase_P_RNA from 1 species